rnacentral:rRNA from 1 species
UACGGAGGGGGCUAGCGUUGUUCGGAAUUACUGGGCGUAAAGCGCACGUAGGCGGCUUUGUAAGUUAGAGGUGAAAGCCCGGGGCUCAACUCCGGAAUUGCCUUUAAGACUGCAUCGCUAGAAUUGUGGAGAGGUAAGUGGAAUUCCGAGUGUAGAGGUGAAAUUCGUAGAGAUCCGGAAGAACACCGGUGGCGAAGGCGGCCUGCUGGGCAGUAGCUGACGCUGAUGCGCGACAGCGUGGGGAGCAAACAGG